rnacentral:lncRNA from 1 species
CUGAGGGGAGUGACUUCAUGAAGACAUCUAAUUAAGGAAUGAGUGUUCCAAAAUCUCCUACUUUCUACCCAGUUGUGGAUCUCUGUAUUUGUUCCCAUCUUUUGCAAGAGGAAGCUUCUCUGACGAUGGCUGAGCAAGGGAUUGAUCAGUAAGUACAUAGAAUGUUGUUAGGAGUCAUUUUAUUACUGCAAUCCCUUAGCAGAACAGUAUUACUUGUCUUUAUCUAGUCCCUGGUCUAUUAAGUUUUAGAUUGUCUGCCACUUCAUUGGUAUCAAAAUUGGGUUCCGUCUCAUGGAGUGGACAUUAAAUCCAGUCAGAUUAUUGGCUGGUUACUCCCACAAUCUUUGUACCGCCAUGACUCUAGUUUGUAGGUCACCAUUGUAGAGAAAAGGUUUUGUAGCUGGGCUUGUGUCUAUGUUUCUCCUUUGGAAACAGACACAUACCUUCCAUGAACAAUAGUCAGAAGGGAUGAAGGCUCUAGGUAGAGCCCAAGCAGCAUAAGUGAGUUGUCCAGGUGUUGUCUUCAGUGAUAGACAGAGGUUUGCCAUUGAUUUUUAUGGGGAACAGCCUUAGCAACAGCUUGGUUUGUUUCAUGAUCGCCAUGGGCCAUUUUGGUUAACAACUUUAUUAGAUGCACUGUAAACCUCAUUUAUUGAUAAGAGAUGUCCAGUUAUUUAUCCAGAUGUCUAUUUUGCUAUUUGCAUACAUGUAUACAUUUUAGAAAGUGUCUACUAUAAUAGGUUUCCUUGUGACCUCUUCAAAUCACCCUUAGUUUUCCUUUUACUUGCUGUAUUCCCUAGAUCCCAUCUUCCUACCAUCUACAGUAGAAACAGAUCUUGAAUGUUCAAGAGUAAAAUUGCCAGUAUAUAGAGAUUGCCUGACAUUUCAAGAUUUAAAGCCUUUUUUCUGAGAGACUGAACUUUAUUUAAUAUUUGAAUAAUAACAAUUUCUGUAAAUCAAGGUUUAUUUUACCGUGUGGUGAUGAACUUUUUUUUUUUUUUUAAAACGGGUGAAUCAUACAAAGCAGAAAAUUAGCACAAAAAACACUUUUUAGUUUUGACUCUCCUUUGAUGUGAUAAAAUUAAACCUGAACUGUUACACAAUGAUUAAUACAUCAACAGUGUUCUGCUUUUCAGACAUUACAUUACAAUAUUAGUUUUUUUUUUAGAUACCUGAGCUCAAGCAGCUCUUGUUAUUAGAAUAAUGUGUUUUAAUAUCAUGUAUUUCUCCUAUUUAUUUUAUUUCUUUUGUGGGGAAAAUACAGAUUUAAUAUUUAGAAAAUAAAAGUUAUGCCCCUGUGGGUUUUUCUUUAUAGUUUUAUGAUUGGGGUUUAAUCUUGUUUAUGUGCAUUUACUGAUUAUGUUUUUCUUCUUCAGGCACAGAGGAACUCAGAGCCUUGGGCAGAGAUGGAAAAUAUUGAGGCUUCAUCUGACUCCUUUCUCUGCUCUUCACUGAAGAUUCUGAAUGAUUUGAUGGGUUUUUAAUUAUAUUGUCAAAUAAAAACUAAAAAUAACCUAGAAUGGUAUCAAAUUGAGAUAUCAAGCACCUUCAAUAAAUAUGAAUC